UACAUAAAUCAAAUUACAUUGUGCUGUUAAAAUGACUGCUUUUGUAUAAUGUUUGUGCAUUUUUGUAGGAUCUGAAAUGUCUGCAGACUGGUGUGAGCACUGAGGACGAGGAGCCCAGAGCUGAAUCCUGGAAACGGAUCUGAAAUGUCUGCAGACUGGUGUGAGCACUGAGGACGAGGAGCCCAGAGCUGAAUCCUGGAAACGGUGCCAUGGAAGAGUCCCUCCAUCACUCCAUCUGCCCUUAUUGCCUCAGAUUGUGAAGCGCAGCAACAAGCUCCGGCACGAAGGCACAGUCACCUCUGGUGAAUUCAUCAGAAUAAAGCUGCAGAAUGGGAUCCGCUGUGUUGAGAUGGCAGUAUGUGGGGUUCAGCGCCUGUAAAUACAUGAUUGUAGUUUGAAUAAAGCUUUGUUUCAUGUGUUGUUGACUUGUA